CGUAAAUCAUGAAAUGGGUGAAUAUAAAGACUUCAUUCGACUGAUGUUCAUUGUGUCACUUUAGGUAAACUGUUAAACGACUGUUGCACUCCCUCGUCCCCAUAGAAACACGGCGUUAACUGUCAAAUCGCUCAUGUUGCGCUAAACUCUUGAUUGACCUCUUAAUCCGUUUUGGUUUAUUUUGAUCAAGAACAUAAUUAACGAUUGUUAAUCUAACAAUCGUCAAACAAUACACAUCAAAACAUAACAUUUUGAUGUUACAAUGUCCGAAUUGGAUUUGGACAACAUGUGGGAGGAGGAAGAGGAUGGAUGGCUGUAUGAAGGAAUUGAAACCAGGGAUAAUACAGAUGAAAUGGAAAUAAUAUACUGCACAGCCACAGCACAUGAAACUGCAAAGGAUCAUGGGGGUGAGAUGGAAACGCAGAAUGCAGAGGGAGACAACCCAGAGGAAGACAGCAACCAAGAUAAUGAAGAUGAUGAUGAUGACGAUAAUGAUGUUUGUGUCACCAUAGGAACCAUAAAUGCAGGAGCCUCAUCGUUAUGCAC
ensembl:lncRNA